AAUCUUCUUGUGCUCAAAACCAGAUAUCUCUAAACCACAUCAUUAGAUUAUUACAAAAUUUUGUAUACACUUAGCAUAACUAAUAAUCCAUUCAAUAUUAAAUUUAUUAUUGUAGAUGUUUCACCAAUUGCAUGAACAAGCCAAAAUUGCUAGUCCUAAUUAUAUUAUAUAAAAUCCAAAUCACCAAUACAAACCCUGAUUUUGAA
rnacentral:lncRNA from 1 species